rnacentral:rRNA from 1 species
AUUGAACGCUGGCGGCAUGCCUUACACAUGCAAGUCGAACGGCAGCACGGACUUCGGUCUGGUGGCGAGUGGCGAACGGGUGAGUAAUGUAUCGGAACGUACCUUUCAGUGGGGGAUAACGUAGCGAAAGUUACGCUAAUACCGCAUAUUCUGUGAGCAGGAAAGCAGGGGAUUGCAAGACCUUGCGCUGAUUGAGCGGCCGAUAUCAGAUUAGCUAGUUGGUGGGGUAAAGGCCUACCAAGGCUACGAUCUGUAGCGGGUCUGAGAGGAUGAUCCGCCACACUGGAACUGAGACACGGUCCAGACUCCUACGGGAGGCAGCAGUGGGGAAUAUUGGACAAUGGGCGCAAGCCUGAUCCAGCCAUGCCGCGUGUGUGAAGAAGGCCUUCGGGUGUAAGCACUUUGUUGGGAGAACCGGUCGGAUUAAUACUUCGGCUGAAUGACGGUACCCAAAGAAUAAGACACCGGCUAACUUCGUGCC